GCUGGAAUGAAAAGACAACCCACAGUGCGUCAGCACACAACUUAACACAGACCAUCUACACUGGAACAGAAACUUAACACAACUUGCAUGAGAUGUUUACUGUGUACCAGGGGAAGGCACUAAGAAGAAUGGAAAAGUGAAUGGGGUCUACGUGAUCUUGAGUUUCAUUGCCUCAUUUGACAGCGGCAAGAGAUGCUGCCCACAGGUGUUAAGGUGACAGACUACUCUAGGACUGCUGCAGAUUAGCACCAUUAUUAUUAUUAUUUUUUUGAGACGGAGUCUCACUGUGUCGCCCAGGCUGGAGUGAAGUGGCACAGUCUC
rnacentral:lncRNA from 1 species